rnacentral:misc_RNA from 1 species
GGGGAGUACGAACGCAAGUUUGAAACUCAAAGGAAUUGACGGGGGCCCGCACAAGCGGCGGAGCAUGCGGAUUAAUUCGAUGCAACGCGAAGAACCUUACCAAGGCUUGACAUUCACCGGACCGCCCCAGAGAUGGGGUUUCCCUUCGGGGCUGGUGGACAGGUGGUGCAUGGUUGUCGUCAGCUCGUGUCGUGAGAUGUUGGGUUAAGUCCCGCAACGAGCGCAACCCUCGUUCUAUGUUGCCAGCACGUGAUGGUGGGGACUCAUAGGAGACUGCCGGGGUCAACUCGGAGGAAGGUGGGGAUGACGUACCAAGGUUGGUU